AUGGAUUCCUCGUCAAGUCAGUUUGGGGGGUGUGGACACACUUGCGCGAAUUCGGGUAACGGCUACAAGGGAGAAAUCGAAAGGAAACUGUACCCGACCAGGGAUGGACGGAGUGGCUACCUACUGGAGCUUCGACCAACCACCACUGGUCAAUUCCGCUUUGGGGCCACCCCUUACUCUACCAUUAUUAUAGGGGUAUGGGGUUCGAGACAAAGAAAGAUCAAGGCAGCAUAUCAGUUUUUCCUUUAUACUUUACUUGGAUCUGUUUUUAUGCUAUUAGCUAUUCUGUUGAUUCUUCUCCAAACAGGAACCACCGAUUUACAAAUUUUAUUAACCACAGAAUUUAGUGAGCGGCGCCAAAUCUUUCUAUGGAUUGCUUCUUUCGCCUCUUUCGCCGUCAAAGUGCCUAUGGUACCAGUUCAUAUUUGGUUACCCGAAGCUCAUGUAGAGGCACCUACGGCAGGAUCCGUCAUCUUGGCAGGAAUUCCUUUAAAAUUGGGAACCUACGGGUUUUUAAGAUUUUCAAUACCCAUGUUUCCCGAAGCGACACUUUGUUCCACUCCUUUCAUUUAUACUCUAAGCGCGAUUGCUAUAAUAUAUACUUCCUUGACCACUUCAAGACAGAUCGAUCUUAAGAAGAUCAUUGCUUACUCCUCAGUAGCCCAUAUGAAUCUGGUGACUAUUGGUAUGUUUAGUCGGGCGGCGGCCGUUAGGUCACCUAUUUUGAGUUAUGGACACACAAGGCCAAAACAUGUGUGCCGGGCGUGCGACCCAUCAACCUACUAGCAAUGGGGGAGAAAACAUAGCAUGUCGCAACAAAAGCUUGAUUCGAGGCGUCAGCAAAACACUGCCGUCUGUUCCAAAAACAAAAGCCCCUUAGCGCCCCGGGACGGGAGUGGGGGACGGCCCUACGCGCAGGCAACAGCAGCACCGGCUCUACGAAGUCAGAAUCGAAUCUUUCUGUUGGCUUUCCCAAAAUAAAAAUUCAUUCGUGAAUAAGAAUUCAUCAAGGGCUAAAAGCGAGCGCUUCUAGCUGCUUCGCCCGCUUUUCUUAUUAUGGCGGCUAUGUUGGCGUGGCGGAAAUGAACGAAAAGCAAUAUGAACGUGCUAUUUUCAAAUCGAUUGUAAGGGGAAAUCGGAGAUUUCUAUCUAUUGAUGAGACAACUAUCUAUUCUUGAUCCAUCAGAAAGAAAUCGAUAUGUAUCUGAUGGAGUCUACAUCGUACGUAGAGCGCCCAAACGCUUUUUAGGCCAGCUCAGUUCUCUUAUCCAUCGGUCCAAUGCACUGAGCUCAUCUCAUGGAGAGAAAAGCCAAAAUAAUGUAGUUGUGUUGUUGUUGUUCGCCGCCUCGACGCAUUCCCUUCUCUCCCCGGCAUCGUCCCACACAGAAAGAAAGAGCGCAGAGCCCCGGCCCGACCUGUAGGUCCGCUAACGUAAAGCGAGGAGUUGAGCCUGAACUGGCGAACCGAAGUCACUUUCGGAACCAUACUUCCUACAGCUAACACGUGCCCAGUCCAGCGGGAACGCGCAGCGCAAACGAACGUGAGCUGCUAUACGGAAUCCCCCGCUGGCCAUCGGGGACCAAGUGGUAAGGCCAUGAUCUGCAGGGAACGGAUCACUCAUUCUUCCAUUGGGGACAGGUGCACGAACGACAACUCCAAACGUCACACAUCCGUCGCCUACCUACCGUUUAGGUGGCACCAGCGAGAUCCAGCUAAGGUAAGGAACUUCGUGUCGCGGCUGCUCCACUCCGCCGCGGUCUCAUGAACUGAACUUCGUUGCCUUCCCGCGCGCGAAGCGAAUGGGCGCUGUGCUGUGGGUCAGUUUCAGGGCGGGGGGCGAAGAGAGACCAGAAGAAUGAUUCAUUUGGAUCGACGAGCUUUUUCAGUCCCAAAACUAAGAAUCAAUGGAAUGUCUGUCUAUCCAUGAACAUCUAUUCUAUCUGUAUAUCUAGGGGAUCUCUCUAUACAUAUAAAAAGGUUUUAUGGCAUGAUAUGAUCGCCUAGCCGUAGCCGCAUAUCAGCUGCGCUCAAUAUGCGGGAGAUUUCUGUUGGAUUAGAUCUUUCGCUUUGACGGAAGCUUUUGGACUUAGCGAAAAGGACUUUAAGCCUUCGCGCAAGCAAGCGCGAGAGAAGCAAGCAAAGUAGAAGCUUUGCCAGUAGCAAGACGAGGAAGCGGAGCUUUCGUAUAAGCGGCAGCUUCCCCCGACCGACUAAAAUACAACAGUUGCGACCUACUUUGAUUCAAAAGAAAGGCGAAGGGUUUGGCAACAAGCAAACGGCUUUCUAUCAUAGUUGCAAGGGUUCCAAACCUUAACUACUUAAGUACCAAAGGCUGCUUUCGGUUGGUUUCAUAAGGGGGCUGUUCACUACAAGCUAUCAGCGCUGUCUUAGAUUGAACACGGCAAUAAGAUAAGUCGACGUUCAAUCUCUAAGGCGGGUUUCCGCUGAGAACGGAAUAGUGUUCGUGUCCAAAGGUGAACAACGCCCUAGCUUCUAGAGUUCGCUGCUUUUCCCAGGCCGGAGAAGGGCUUAUACUGCUCGCCUUUGUUUGAUAUGUUCAUUCAGUACCAAUACAAACUACAACUACACCAAAGUGGAAGGGCCACUAUAGAAGCUAGAAGUAGCCUAUAGUAGAGUAGUCGGUCUAACCAAAGCGUCACGACAACAGAAAAUUCCCCUUAUGAAUGGAAUCUUAAGUAGGGGGCUUAGCCCGCCCGCCUACCAAUCAAAGAGGCUGAGAGUAAACGUAAGCUCACCCGUAAGCUCUUCGAGCUUUCUCCGCCAGCGAGAGUAGAGAAGGAGAGAAGCGACUCGUCGUAGAAGCUUCGCUUCCAGGACGAAGCCGAGCCUAAAAGACCGACUUGGCGCAGGAGGCCAAGCAUUCUGAGCUGGAAGGAGGCAAGCAAAUGAAGGGGGGCAUUACGGGCCGACUACAAAAAGCAAAGCUUCGUAGACUCGACAAGUCGCUUAUAGAAUGCCGACUACUAAGUGAAGACUUUCCACUUCAUUUAAUAAGGGAAGGGGGAGGGAAGCUUAGCGAGCUUUAUAAGGCCGACCACUACAUAAGCCGCUGGCGGAGAAAGCUCGAGGAGCUUCCCUUCAUUCGCUUCGCGGGAGCUGCACAGCGCAUAGCUGGAAGUCAGAGGGCCCAUACUACCUGCCUAACCCCUCGCUCCGAGGGACCGUAGAUCGGAAAGCGCCUUCUAAACCACCCCAUUCAUCCAAAAGAGAAGGGAAGGGGCCUAUGUAUUUGCAUGAUCCCUGCGGAUUUGACCCUAUCUACACCCGGAGCCAAUCCCCUUAUCGGUCCUGCCACCACGCCGCAGAACGGGAGCUCGUGUGGAACCUUUUCUUUCUGGCGUAACGGCGGUGGAAGGUAACAAAAUAUUACGGUCGCGUAACAUAAGGGCCGGAGGUACGGUAAACUCGGACUCGGAUAGGAUAGGAUUGUGCGCGCCGGGCCCUUCGGGUGUCAUAUUUUGGCCGAGUUUACCCCUUCUUGCACUUCGGACAGCCGUCCGUAGCAUCAUAAGGAGGACCCCCCCUUUCGAGGUAAAAAAAUGGUACGAUACAUAGGAGGCUGGUCUUUCUCAACGUGGUGUAUAGCACGAAAAACCUUUCGAUACAAGAUAGGGCCGUUCACAUGAAA